CACCAGGCGCGAAAACUUUACACUGUUGGCAACAGCGAUAAGGGGACCUCGAGUGCCAGGAUACAAUCUUGGCUGUCGCGAUGCCUAAAAAGCAUUGCAUAGCAAGGGCCGGGCAAGACCGGUGCCAGCCGCCGCGGUAACACCGGCGGCUCGAGUGGUAACCGCUAUUAUUGGGUCUAAAGGGUCUGUAGCCGGCCGGAUAAGUCUUUUGGGAAAUCCAGCUGCUCAACAGUUGGGCUUUCAGAAGAUACUGUUCGGCUCGAGACCGGGAGAGGUGAGAGGUACUUCAGGGGUAGGGGUGAAAUCUUGUAAUCCUUGAAGGACCACCAGUGGCGAAGGCGUCUCACCAGAACGGAUCUGACGGCAAGGGACGAAAGCUAGGGGCACGGACCGGAUUAGAUACCCGGGUAGUCCUAGCCGUAAACGAUACUCGCUAGGUGUCAGCCACGGUGCGACCGUGGUUGGUGCCGUAGGGAAGCCGUGAAGCGAGCCACCUGGGAAGUACGGCCGCAAGGCUGAAACUUAAAGGAAUUGGCGGGGGAGCAC
rnacentral:rRNA from 1 species